ACGCUCGACACCUACGGGAGACAGCAGUGGGGAAUAUUGGGGCAAUGGGCGCAAGCCUGACCCAGCAACGCCGCGUGAAGGAAGAAGGCCCUCGGGUUGUAAACUUCUUUUGUCAGGGACGAAGCAAGUGACGGUACCUGACGAAUAAGCCACGGCUAACUACGUGCCAGCAGCCGCGGUAAUCUGAGCGGGCUGGCAAGGC
rnacentral:rRNA from 1 species